rnacentral:tRNA from 1 species
GCAGGGGUGUCUGAGCGGUCUAAAGAGCUAGGCUUAGGACCUAGUGGCUUAGUGCCUUCCUGGGUUCGAAUCCCAGCCCCUGCA